GCAAGUCGAACGCGAAAGAAGACUUCGGUCUUCGAGUAGAGUGGCGCACGGGUGAGUAACACGUGAGUAACAUACCUUCAGAUGGGGAAUAACUGCCCGAAAGAGUAGCUAAUACCGCAUAGGACCACGUUGACUUAUGUCGAAGUGGUGAAAGCUUUAUGCGUCUGAAGAUUGGCUCGCGGUCCAUUAGGUAGUUGGUGGGGUAAUGGCCUACCAAGCCCGAGAUGGAUAGCUGGUCUGAGAGGAUGAUC
rnacentral:rRNA from 1 species